rnacentral:rRNA from 1 species
CCUACGGGUGGCAGCAGUGAGGAAUAUUGGUCAAUGGGCGCAAGCCUGAACCAGCCAAGUAGCGUGAAGGAUGACUGCCCUACGGGUUGUAAACUUCUUUUGUAAAGGAAUAAAGUGAGGCACGUGUGCCUUUUUGAAUGUACUUGAUGAAUAAGGAUCGGCUAACUCCGUGCCAGCAGCCGCGGUAAUACGGAGGAUGCGAGCGUUAUCCGGAUUUAUCGGGGUUAAAGGGAGCGUAGAUGGGUCGUUAAGUCAGUUGUGAAAGUUUGCGGCUCAACCGUAAACGUGCAAUUGCUACGGGCAGCCUUGAGUACAGUUGAGGUAGGCGGAAUUCGUGGUGUAGCGGUGAAAUGCUUAGAUAUCACGAAGAACUCCGAGUGCGAAGGCAGCUUACUAAACUGCCACUGACAUUGAUGCUCGAAAGUGUGGGUAUCAAACAGGAUUAGAUACCCCGGUAGUC